rnacentral:rRNA from 1 species
UACGUAGGGGGCAAGCGUUGUCCGGAUUUAUUGGGCGUAAAGAGCGUGUAGGCGGCUCGAUAAGUCCGCUGUGAAAGUCCAGGGCUCAACCCUGGAAGGCCGGUGGAAACUGUCGGGCUAGAGUCCGGAAGAGGCGAGUGGAAUUCCUGGUGUAGCGGUGAAAUGCGCAGAUAUCAGGAAGAACACCUAUGGCGAAGGCAGCUCUCUGGGACGGUACUGACGCUGAGACGCGAAAGCGUGGGGAGCGAACAGG